GGAAAAAAUAUGAUAUUACUUUACUAAAAGUGUUGUCCAAAUCUGGUGCCAAAACACUCGGUAACGCCAGAAACGCGAACGUUAGUCACAUUAACCAGGCGUAAAGGGUUCGUACGCACUUU
rnacentral:rRNA from 1 species